rnacentral:misc_RNA from 1 species
UCCGGUUUGGCACCGGCAGUCCUCCCAGAGUCCCCGCCAUGACGCGCUGGCAACUGGGAGCGGGGGUUGCGUUCGUUACCCCACUGAAGGGAACAACUCAAGCCACGAACUGACGACGACCAUGCAUCACCUGCCCAGCCGCCUUGCGGACGCUCUAGUUUCCUAAAGCAAUCGUCUGGGUUUCAAACCCUGGUGAGAUUCUUCGUUUGUCAUCGAAUUGAGCCGCAUGAUCCACCGCUUGUGCAAGUCCCCGUCUAUUCCUUUGAGUUUUAAUCUUGCGAUCGUACUACCCAGGCGCCCAACUUAACGCGUUUGCUUCGCCUCACAGAGGGUCGAUACUCCGUAAAGCCAGUUAGGAUCGUUUAGGGCGUGGACUAC